AGGGUCAGCGCGCACCAAGGAGAUAUUUAUAUUUGUUUUGAUUUAUGCAGCGUCAUUUCGCGUUUUUGCACUUGUGAAAACGUCGCACCUUUUACGUGCACCUCACAGUCAAAAUAGCGCCUUCGUCUUCAAGUGAGCGCUCGUCACCCUCCACCUUUCCCGACGACUCGCCUAGGGAGCUUCUGACGAAUUUCACUAGCAAAUGGCUGUAUAAGCCUGAGACGGCCGCUCGAACAAUGAAAUGGCCGUCACAUGAGGUACGGAAGGUUCACAAACCAAAACUAAAUUCGAAACGCGCGCCGAACCGGACUAUUUCGCGGAGCAGUACAUGUGCAGUAGCUCCGCCCCCAUAGCCUUCCCUUCAUUGCCAAGAAAAGUUGUCCUUGGGGGCGCUUUAGUUGUUUGACGGGUGCACGAUGCGCGCGGUUUGUGUGUGUGUGUGCCAUGCUGUGUUCUGCAAUGCUUCGUUACCACGUUUAUCGAUUAUGCACGUUGGUUACUUGAUUCAAUGUCAAGUGUACCUUCCAAGACGAUCUAGGUCCUAGUCUUGUGACUGAAGGCGAGUGCGGACGUACAGCAGCCUUUUGACAAGACUGUCGCCGAGUGCACGGUACAUUGUGGACUGUAAAGCUGAAGAGUGCACAGUGGAUGCCUGAUUUUGGAACCGAGUGUGAUCGUCUGGGCGGUGUGUUCACUCUGCGGGGAUGAUGGCCAGAGGAAGGAUGAUAGACAGACGACAGCUUGCAGACGAAGAUGGGAGCGUUCUACCUGUGAGCCUGGUCGAGCUUAUAUUUUAUGGAUACACAUGCAUGGAUACACAUACAUGGAUUCCCUACAAGGACCCUGCGCAUCAAAAGCAAUCUGUCAUCAAUGUUAAGUAGACAGAUUAAACGAAACGAAGAUAUGACAGGUGUACACCAUAUUUUUCUUUCAUUUAACCUCUGCAUGUU